UACGGAGGGUGCAAGCGUUGCUCGGAAUUACUGGGCGUAAAGGGCGUGUAGGCGGCUUUGUAAGUCUGGCGUGAAAGCCCCGGGCUCACCUCGGGAAGUGCGUUGGAAACUGCAAGACUAGAGUCCCGGAGAGGAAGGUGGAAUUCCAGGUGUAGCGGUGAAAUGCGUAGAUAUCUGGAGGAACACCAGUGGCGAAAGCGACCUCCUGGACCAAUACUGACGCUCAGGUGCGAAAGCGUGGGGCGCAAACAGG
rnacentral:rRNA from 1 species